AAAUAAAAACAUCGGCAUUUUCUUCCCCAAUCUUAGCGUCAGCUGGACUUCAAUGUCCAUCUCCUCUCUCUCUCUCCUCUUUCUGACAUCGAUUAACCUUUCAUCCUGAUUUUCUGUUUAAUUAGGAUGAUGGGAAUUGAAUCAAGUAACGCACAAUUUCAGUUUCCAACCAUGUUUUUUCGCCUUCGGUCUUCAAGCGUUUUCAUGCCGUCGCUCCAUCGGUUAUUAUCAAUCGCUUCGCUACCGACCCAUUUUCCAGCUGCCGCGAUCCACACCAGAGGCGUGGCGGCAAGAUCAUCCGGCUAGCUUCUCAUUGGUCGCUCUGGUUUUUAACCAAGAUUAGACGAUGACUCUUCACAGAAGUUUCUCCUGGAACAAUUUUGCGCCACUAGCAUUUUUGUUUGGUAGAUUCGUUUGCAGAUUGGAGUGUGAUACUUGCUCAUCGCAUUAAUGGAAAACUAAACGACCGAAAUGAUAAUGGAGGGGUCCUUAAGUGAAGGUGGAGGAGGGUUUCUUUCUAUUGGUAUAUUAAUACACAAUGUUUCUUAUCUUUGUUUUAUGAAACACUUCGAGGCUUAGUUGAUUAGAGUUGGGAAUCUCACCCCGUAUCUGAUAACAAUAGAGGUAUAGUUUUCUAAGAAUCUGAAUUCCUUUAUAGUUUUAUCUGUUGGUUUCAACCCUAUGGGUUGCAGUUGAGUUCUUCGUGUAGGCCUAGUCAUACUGAGAUUUUUUAUCCAUCAAAGGAAUCCACUGAAGUGUUGUUCAGAAGAUGAUCUCCUCGAUGCCAAAGUCUAAGUUAGAAGACUGCUAAAGACAACUACAUGAUGCUUAAAAUUUUGAGCUUUAACAGGCAGCUGGUUAGGAGCUGUUUUCCUUGCCAGUUUUCUAUUUCUAAGGACAAAAACUAAUGAACGCAUAUUUGGUCCACUAGUUUCUAAAGCUGUAUUCUCUUCUCCUGUUCCUUUAGUCUGUGAACCUCUCACAGAUGGCUUCGUUUUCUACAAGAAUUGAAGCUCUUCUUCCCACAUGAAGCAUGAGCAUGUGCAAGUAGUUGCAAACAGGCAAAUCGUCUCCAUAAUAGUUCAUAGUAGUUUCGAAAGCAAUGACAUAAAUUGUUCUGAAAAUGAUCUCUUCAAUAUGUUCAAAAUUCUGUCCGCCAAAACCUGAUCCUGAUAUAGUUGUUACUCACUUGAAUUUCCAUUUUAGCUGCAUUUAACAGUAACAAGCACAACACUUGAAUUUCCAUUUUAGCUGCAUUUAACAGUAACAAGCACAACACUUGAAUUUCCAUUUUAGCUGCAUUUAACAGUAACAAGCACAACAAUUCCAGUUUAUUGAUAUUGCGUGAAUAUGUAUUUAUGUCAAAGGGAUAAGUUGCUAUUCUCCCAUUCAGAUUCGAUUUAGGGGAGGGAGGAUGCCGUUGAUCAAUUAGCAGCUGAUUGACAUAAGAUAAGAGAUGGCAUGAUCUGAAUCCUCAAUAUGCUGGCAGUUUAUACGUGCAACUUGAUGGUGAAAGAGGACUGGGAAGAAUUCAGAGCAAUGUAGCUGGGAGAUGAAGUUAAGCCAUGAUGCAAUUAUAAGCUACAGAAUGCUAAAUUUUCACAACGUUGUUUACUAUCCCUUCUAGAGCCACAGAUAUUUAUAAGAAAAGGCAAUCCCUCCCCCUCCCCCUCCCUGGCAGAGAACCAUAAAAGAAGCAGAAAAAACAAAAGAAUUUGAUCCACUACCAUAGAAUAAUUUUGGAUACAACUCAAUAAUUGUAGACAUUUCCAUUUUCAGA